rnacentral:rRNA from 1 species
CAUGCCAAUGGCACUGCCCGGUAGCUAAAUGCGGAAGAGAUAAGUGCUGAAAGCAUCUAAGCACGAAACUUGCCCCGAGAUGAGUUCUCCCUGAGACUUUAAGUCUCCUGAAGGAACGUUGAAGACGACGACGUUGAUAGGUCGGGUGUGUAAGCGCAGCGAUGCGUUGAGCUAACCGAUACUAAUGAACCGUGAGGCUUAACCUU